ensembl:lncRNA
GGGGAGGCGGUGCGGGAGGGCGCUGGCCGCGUCCGCCCGCCGAGAGCCUCGGGUCGCGCAGCCUUCCUGAUGUGUCACCAGCACGUGGAGCCAGGUCGGGCCUUGCGAGCGAGCGGAACCCCCCAACUUUCGAAGGGUCUCGCUGCUCUGCUCCUGUCCCCGCUGCGCCGGGCGCGCCCCCUUUGGGGACUGGGCAGCGGCGGCCUCCGGGUCCGGGCAGGGCGGACGAGGCCGGGGCCCCAGGCCAGAUGCGCGCGGGGCGGCCCGAACGUCGGGGCGCGGAGCCCCGGCUCGCGGCUGAGCCACCAGCGUCUCGGCGGCGGCGGGGACUCGCGUGCGGAGGGCGUGGCCCGCGGCGGGUGAGGGUUCCCGCCCCCCUCUCCGAGCGGAGCGCAGAACAAUCACCCUAAAGAAGACAGAUCAUAAAAAGGGAAUGAAAGCCUAUGAUGAAUGAACAAGCUGUAUACACUUGCCAUUGUGAUCAGAGAAUAACACCGUCUGUGAGAAGUCCGACAACUGGAGAGGGGCCAGAGGACAGAAGAUGAGGAAAUAAAGUGAAGUUUCAUACACAGAGGGUCCAGGCAAAAAUCCUGAGCAAAGUAGAAACCAACUGUGGACAUUUCUGCAGAAAGGAGUCCUCACUUAGAGCUUCCAGGGAACCAGCAGGAAGUCUCAUCAAAUUGGGUUCACUUUCUAUAUUUAGAGCAUCAGAAGGCUGAACAUGUCAGACAGAGUUCAGGUAGGGGCACAUGUGGAGAUUUUUUUUUUUGGUACCGGGGAUCGAUUUUGGUACCUGCACUUGUGAGGCAGGCAGCGGAACCACUGAGCUAAAUCCCCGGCCCAAUGUGGAGAUUUUUUAAAAAUUUGAUACAGUUCAGUUAUUUUCUAGAAGAACGGGGUGACUACUUCAAAUGGAAAACAUUGACUCAAGGCCCUAAAAGUUGACUGGGAAGACAGUAGCAGUGACGAUGGGAUACGAGAUGCCGCAGUAAUAAUAGGACCCCGGAUCUUGGCAGCUCCAAGCAGCAAGGCUCAGUUCUCACCUCUGCUCUUAGUCCCCUGCCUGGAGCAACUGGAGGCUCCACCCUGCAUCUGUCUCCUCUGGGACCCAGGCUGAGGGAGCAACCCUUAUGAGGGGGAGGAAGCAGUGUGGUGAGCCAUGGGUUGGCUCUGAAAGCGUCACCCACAAGUGACAAGGCAAGUCUUAUGGCCAAGGUUAACUUCAAAAAUGGUAGGCAGUACAACCCCACUCCCCAUGGGGAGGAUGAGGAGCCAGAAAUAUGUCGGGGUAGCACCACAGACUCCACAGCCCCAGGGCUGCCAGUAUCUCAUGCAGGGAAGUGCAGGCUCUGGGCAAGAAAGGACUGGGUAGAGACUCAGCACUUUGGCAUCUGACUGGGGUCUCAGGGUCGGGAGCAAGUCAGAGGCGCAGACCAGAGCAACUGGAGGCUGGGAAAAAAGCACCAGGGCAGCAGAAGCGGACGUCAUCUCCAGAACCCUAAAUAUUCAGUGAUUGAGGUGUUUAAAUACUUGGCAGUCUAAUCAUUUAAAUGGACUAGGACAACUACUUAAAGUGACAAUAUAAAUGAACAUUUGUUGGCAACAAGCUACACGCUGGGAGUGUCCAUUUGGGGAAGGGGCUGUCAGAUGUUGAAGCAGCACCUGGCAGAGAGGGGAUCCUGUGGUAUUUGCCUCGGUGCGGACAGGCAGGAGGUGUGCAGGUUGCAUGGUGCUGGUUGAGACCUCAAAAGGUUGACAGACCAUCUGGAGACAAACACAUUCCCAUGCCAAUGUGGCAACUGGGGCAACUGGCAUUUCCUCCAGAGCUACUGGUGUCAUUUGUGUGCAAAUAAUGUGAGAAAAUUUGACUCUCUGCCUGGCUUGCCAGGAGGCUCCUGGGCAGAGUUAGCUUGUGGUUGCCUGGACCUCGUGUGGGGCUGCAGUAGGAAGGACUCUCCAAGUAUGACUAUGGGAGCAUGCACGUUUUCCGGACGUGGCCAUUUUGUUUCUCAGCUCCUCAAAUUUCUACUCCUAAAGUGAAGCUGUACACUGUGAUUAAGAGCACAGACUGCUGGGGCUGGAAUCCGGGGCCCAUCGCUCUGAGGGACCUUAAGGGAGACUUGACCAUUCUGGCCUCAGGACCACUGUGUGUGAAAUAAUAUUUCAGAGACUUGUGUCCAUAUAUAAAUUAAAUACAAAGGGCUUAGGAAAGAGCAUUCGAUAAAUAUUAAACAUUUAAAACCCUAUACUACUGCCUCUGAAUUUCAGCAAAGAAUUUGUGAGCCAUUCAGAGUAUCUUUGUAGGCAAACGGAAAAACUGAGACAGGUGAAUAGUGUGGUAAAAUCCUGUGAAGUCUGGGUUGGCUGGACUCCUGACAAGGAGAGUCAUUAAGGAAUUAGUGUCACCUUUCAAAGCAGGUAUUUCGUGGUGUGACUUAAGCAAUUCGGAGCAUAAUAAAGUGAUGCUGCAGAUCAAUUUUUAAAAAGCAUCACUUGGGCUGGGGAUUUAGUUCAGUGGUUCCACCACCUGCUUCGCAAGCACAAGGUCCCAAGUUCAAUCCCUGGUACAAAAAAAAAAAAAAAAAAAAAAAAAGCAUCAUUCAAUAUUGUUAACACGGGCAGUGGGGGAGUUUAAGCCCUUCCCACAAAGUAGUAUCACACUCAGAAAUGGAUGCCUGCAGCUGAGGGAGCUCAAGAGGCACGUGAGGGGAGGUGUACAAGGGGAUCUGGGGAAGAAACAGGUGUCAGAUUGUGUCUGGGGAGGGACAUGCUCAUUUCUCUCCCACUCAGGGGAAACUGCUGGGAGCCCAGGGCUCUGGGUAGGGAAUCAGGAACAACUGUAUCCCCUCAGCUCCUCUGGGCCCCACAGGAUCUGAUAGGCUGAGUGUGGUUCUAACACUGAGAGACGGAUGUACACUCACAUUACGGCCUCAGUUGCAAGACAGCCAUGUCCCCCAGAGCUGAACCAAAGAAAUGAUUCCAAUCCACUGAUUAAAAUCAUGACUCAUUCCAAUCCUGAUCCAUUCCCACAGUGAAGGAAAAACUGUGUUGUUGCUUCCAGCAGAAACAGGGCCCCUACUAUGAAUGGCUUUCAGCUUACUUCCUGACUAAAAACCCUGAAAGACAAGACUUCCUAUGUGGGACUGACCUUCCCAUUCCAUUCAUCUCCUCAGGACCCCUCAUCCCCUGAUCCUGCUCUAAUUUCCCCUCAAUAUCAUUCAUCAUUUUCUAAUAUAUUAUAUCACUUAUUUAUUUGGUGUCUUUAUUAUCUGUCCCCUAAAGGGGCUCAGAACGUGUCACCCCAAAAUAUGCUACUUCAGCCUAUUGAUUAUUUUGAACUUAAAGAAAUUGAGAACCGACCCAGGAAAAGUCAGUUAUUUACUUCCCCCGACCACCUAAUAUAAAGUACUGCAUAUAUUUUCUCUUUUGUAAAGGAAAUUUAUAUUUGUAAAGGAAAUUUUUGUUAAUAAAGUAACCUGUACCAGGAAGAGAGCUAUUCCUAGACAACCUUUAUCACUUGAGAUUUUUAUCUGCUGAGUAAGACCUUAUUCAUCAGACAUUUACCAACUUUAUUUACCUCCCUUCACCCUCCCAUAAUCUUCCCCAUCACUCCCCCAGAUCCCCAAUUCCUACUACUUUCUGUAGCUCAGGAUGAUACAUAAACUCCAAUCACCUGGCUGCCUCCUCAGGUCUCAUGUUUUCGUGGGACUCCCAUUGAAUAUCUUUGAAAUUAAACUUGUUUCUCUCUAGUUAAUCUGUCUUCUGUUACUGUAAUUUGUAGACUCAACCCAGAAAAGUUUCUUCUGGAAGCAAUUUUUUUCUCCCCUAUCUCCCCCUUCCCAAACUAUGAGCUCUAGAAGAACAGAAUUUUACCUAUUUUGCUCACUGAUAGACCCAAACCACCUACUAUAGAAUCUGGCAACUGGCUGACACUUUAUAAAUUAUUGUUAAGUUAAUGUAUCCCGAUAGGGAAAGGCUUUCUAAACUUCAUGUCACAAAAAGAAAGCAUAAAGGAAUAUACUGAUAGGUUUGCUCGUGCCAAAAUAUAAACAUUUCUGAACCUCCAUCACAAAACUGAAACAAAGUAACAGGAGGUCAAUAAAGUGAUUAUAUGUCCAUACAAUUAUAAAUUAAUAUACACUCUCAUGAGAACUGUGUGAUAUAUUGCCAAGUGAGAAGGACAGGUUCUAAAAUGUUGAUCCAGUGUUUGUUUAAAAACAUACAGGAAAGAUGAUACUUUCACCAGGGUGAUUUCUUGGGAGACCAAUUGUUAAAAUGACACUUAUCAGUACCAUAGUGAUUAUUGUUAGUGUUGUGCUUAGGAGUUCCUGAGAUAGUACCAAGUUUCUUCUUUUUCCUGUGGUCCUGGGAUUGAACCCAGGGCUUUGUGCAUACCACACAAGCAUUCUACUGCUGAGCGACACCCCGGUUCUGUUUCCAGUUUUUGUUGUUGUUAUUGCUAACAAUGCUGCUUCUAAACAAUAAUCCACAAAUCACUUCAAAUUCUCUGUAUUUUGUCAUAAUUACUUCUGCUUUGCAUUGUAGUGUAACUUUUCUAAAAAAAUGUUUCCUAAAAACUAGAUAACCUGGAAAGUAGGAAUGGAGACUUUGAUGUCAAAGACUUGUAUGCUGUACCCUCUAACUGCAUUUUCAUCUAAAUACUUAAUGUGUUUUUAACCCUGAGGAAAAUAUGAAUAAUGCACAAAAAGGUACAGAAAAAUGUCUGGAAGAUAAUAAUAAGAUGGGCUCUCUGGGGAAUUCAGCUGUUUUAAAAAAACAUAUUUAUUGGUUUGUUUCUCUGAAUUUUAGGAUUUUAUUUAUUUAUUUUAUUUUGGUGCCGGGAUAGAACUCAGGACCUUGUGCUUUUGAGGCAGGCAUGGUGCCACUGAGCUAAAUCCCCGCCCAAUGAUUUUAAAUAACAAACAUGUACAAAUUGAACAUUUAGAGGUUAUUUUUAAUUAAAAAGUGAACAAAUUAAUUAAACAACAAAUUAGGAAAAAGGGAUGUAAUAUGUGUGACUGACAAAAAGACUUAGAGACUAAUUUUACAGGUCCAUGUGACUGGCCUGAGCAAGCACAGUUUACACAUUGCUUGCAGGUGGAAGUUCCUGGAGGAACACUGUGUGGAUUCCACACUCUCCAUUGAUGGUGGCAAAGUCCAGUCCUUGCCCUAGUGGAACAAGAGGCAGAGGAAGAAGGGAUUUGCCCCUUCGCUGCCUGUGAGCUGGGACAUCUCGUUUUCUCUUGCCUUUGGACUGGGACAGGAUGGGGAUGGCUGUGUGGUUCCCAGGCCUUCUGACUCAGACUGACCUACACAUUGGCUUCCCAACUCUAGGUGGCCAACAGUGGGAUUUCUCAGCCUUCAUAGUUAUAUGACCUAACUCAUCAGAAUAAAUUUCCUUUAAUACAUGUCUCCCACUGGCUCUGUUUCUCUGGAGACCCUUGACUAAUACAGAAGUAUUAGUAUUAUAAAGAAGUGUUCUUUAAAAAUCAAUAAGAGCUGGGGAUUUAGCUCAGUGGUUCCACCACCUGCCUCACAAGCGCAAGGACCUGAAUUUGAUCCCUGGUACCAAAAAAAAAAUCAUAAGAAAUUCUUCCUCUGUCCCUUCUUUUUUCCUUCCUCUUCCUUCUCUUCCCUUCCUUCCUGAGUGAUUUAGUCCUAAAAUCUAUAGGUGGAGCAGAGUAAAGUAGGGGUGGACUGAGGAGCCCUGAGACCAGAUCAGAGUGUCAGACCCCAGACAGGGUGGGGAGGGCGUCUGCACAGGAGGGCUGUGCCAUAUGGGGUGACAGAGGCACAGCAGGGAGAAGGGGUCCCCGUGGGGAGGCCAUGGUUGGGCAUGGUCUGAGUUUGUCUCUGGGGUAGUUUAUCGAUUAAUUGUCAACUUGAGUGGGAACCCUCAGGUGAAUGGAGUCAGCAUGGUUCUGGACAUGGAAGACCCACUUUAAGGAGGACUGCUGUCAGAAUGGUAUAAAAGGAGAAUGGGAGGGAAGGAUCUGAGCUGAUUUUCCUUAGAAGAGCUCUGUUGCGGCUGAUGUUCCUUGGAGGAGCUCCGGUCUUCACCUUCACCUUGGGCCUCCUCUCCUGGUUUUCAGUGCAAACUCUUUCACUCCUUGCGCUGACCCUUGGGCCUCCCACACAGAUCCCUUGGUCUUCUGUCCCAGAUCUUUCCCUCUCCUUAUCUUUUGUUUUUGGUACCAGGGAUCGAACUUGGGACCUUGCACUUGCGAGGCAGGCAGCAGAACCACUGAGCUAAAUCCCCAGCCCAUAUCUUUCCCUUCCCUGAUGCAGACUUAUGGGGGGUGGGCUCCUGGCCUUCAGCUGGAUCCUUUGGAUCUCUAGCGCUCGGAUCUCUAGCACUACAACCCAUCUCCACUCUUCUCGAUUUGACUUAGGCCGGCCACGGUAGGCCAAUCUUGUAAAUUUCUGUGUCCUGCAUUAAAUCUGAUUCAGAGCAUAUGCAAUCUUUUGAGACUUGCCCCAGCCCUGCAAGCUCUUGUAAGCACUGACUAAUACAGUCUCCUAAGGGUUCGUGUGUUGAAACCUGGUACUCAGUGUAGCAAUGCAUUAGGUGUUGUGACUUCUUUUCUUUAUAAAGUACCCAGCCUCAGGUAUCUCAUUAUCAUAACAGACUAAUACCAGAAGAAAGUGCUACAUGGGUAUGGUAGUCCACAUAAAACGAGGGGUCGCCCAGGGGUACAAGGAACCAGACUUGAGAGGAGUGAGGUAGGGGGCAGCUUAACUGGGUGAAGGAGGCAAGGGCAUGCAGAGGGUUAGAGACCAAACAGGAUAAGCAGGGUGCCCAUCUGGGGAGGCAGCCCCACACAUAGUGUCAGUCUUAGUCUGCUUUCUGCUGCUAUGACAGAAUACUCAGACUGGGCAAAUUACAGAGAAUAAAUUGAUUGCCUGCGGACUUGGAUGCUGGCAGGAGCACCUACCAUGUGCCUGGCUUCCCCAGAGCAGGUGCCUCAGGGAGUCAGAUUCUUACAUGGAGCUUCUGAGCACCAAGAAGGAAGGGUUCAGCCAGCAAAUGCAGAUGCUAUAUCACCUUUCCUGAUCUGGUCUUUGAAACUGCACAGUGUCAUUUCUGUGACCUUCUUGGGCUCCAAGCAAGUCACAAACCUGCCCAAAUUCAAGAGGAAGGAAACAUAGACCCCUGUCCUUCAAUGGAAGCAGUACUGAAGUCAUGUUGUCAAAGAACAUGUGGCACGUAAGAUACUGUUGCUGUUGUUUUUGUAAAACACAAUCUGUCACAAAUGUCAGUAUUUGUUUCCUGAUUUUGCUGGUAGUGCUGUGUUUAUGUAGAAAUAUACAGCAGAGUAUUUUGUGGGUGGUGGAGCAUCAGAUCACAAAUGAUUCCAGAAAUAAAAAAGUUUUUUAUACUGUAUCUUCAACUUUUCUGUAAGUUUGAGAUGGUUUAAAAAUACAAAAUACUUAAAAUUCAAUAAGAAGGUGUACAUUCUGAUAGAAAAAGAAGGCAGGUGUUUGAAUAGGCAUAUUAUGAAGGAUAAGCAGAAGUAACUGGUAAACACAUAAUAAAAAUGUUCAGGACCAGGGAUUUAGCUCAGUGGUUCCACUGCCUGCCUCGCAAGCGCAAGGCCCCAAGUUCGAUCCCUGGUACAAAAAAAAAAAAGUUCAGUUGUGGUAUUCAAACAAAUGCAGAUCAUAAAUAGCAAGAAGAUGCCCUUGGAAAGAUUUUUACAAUAAAAACCAUUGGUGAAAGUGUGGAGGGCAUUGCCCUUGCAGAAAGGAACUCUCAGCAAUGUAUGUAUUUCCCCAAGACAUUGCAUAAGGAUUUAUGGUAACAUGUCAAAUAGCUCCAUGAAAUAUUACAUUAUAGAUGUUAGUUAAAUUAAGCCCCUACUAUUGGAUAUCUAGUUUUUAGAAAAAUGCCUCAGUGAUCCUAUAUUUAAAAUAUUUGUAUAUGAAACUUUAUACGUAUCUUGAAGAGGGAUUAUUAAAGACUGCCCCCAGGGAGUUUCUGCUUGACCACUGAGCUUGUGUUUCAACAUUUUAUACCUUUUGAUACUGUAUGUAUUGCCAACUUCCAUGUGCCAAGGAACAACAUGAGUAAGGGCUACUCAGUACCACUCCUGCUCAGGCUCUGUAUGUCCUCCUCUUUGCCUGGCCCACAGAAGAGGCAGUGUGGAGCUGGGUGUCAUUGGUCUACAGUCCAGCCAAGCCUGGGAACACAGCCUCUGAAUUAGGGGUUGGAGCACCUUAAAUUAUUGGCUUCCUGAGGGUCUAACUGGCAGUUGGUGAGCCAGAAAACAAGCUACCUCAAGUGACAGGCGCAGCUCUGUUUACACAGGCGUCUCCUCCUCCUCCUCAGCCCUGAGGGGCUGAUUUGGGUCCCUUGAUUAUGUUGCAGCAUGACCUUCACCGUCUUCACAGGGCACACGGAUGUCCUGAGGCAUAACACCAUCCCUGCAGGCCUCUUCUUUUUCCCCAGGGCAGCCUCACAGGCCACAAGGUCUCCAGGAACAUGUACGCUGAGCUCACCCAUCUUCAUCACAAACCUCACAGAAAGCUGUGCUCCGUCACCGGACUCCCUCCCAGCAGCCUUCUGGUGUUUGUACAGCAGGGUCUCAUUCACUGUCCACUUCCCUAACUCUCUGACACAACUGCCAGUCACUUCAAUCCACUUAUUCUAUCCCCACUUCUUCACAGCCUCCUCUAGGGCCUUGGUAGUCACAAUACAUGAAACUGAUAAAGGAGUAGUGCCUAGACUAUAUAAAGAGUACAAGUCACUAAGAAAAGGAGAAACAUUAAAAAUGGGCAAAGAAUAUGAAAUGCAGACCACAGAAGAGAAAACACAUUAAAAGUCAAUAAGCCUCUGAAAGGAUGCUUAAUUUCACAUGGAAAAAAUAAAAGAGCUGCAGGUAGAAUUAAUAUUGUUAAGGUAACCAUAUCACUGAAAGCAAUGUAUAGAUUUAACACAAUCCCUAUUAAAACACCAACAACAUUCUUUACAGAACUAGAAAAAAAAAUCCUAAACUUUACAUGGAACCAGAAGAGACCUC